UUAAGGCCCUGGGGGAGUUCGCGAGAACUGAGAUGAUUCCACGGAAUCAGACCCUUCGAACCUGAUCCGGAUUAUCCCGGCGUAGGAAAGCGGCUCGCAGUUUUA
rnacentral:ncRNA from 2 species